rnacentral:rRNA from 1 species
CGAACUGCUCAGUACACGUGGACAAUCUGCCCUGAAGAAGAGAAUAAUCCCGGGAAACUGGGGGUAAUGCUCUAUAGUCCGGGAGGACUGGAAUGUUCUCCGGAUGAAAGAUCCGUCGCUUCAGGAUGAGUUUGCGGCCGAUUAGGUAGUUGUUGGGGUAAAAGCCCAACAAGCCUGUAAUCGGUACGGGUUGUGGGAGCAAGAGCCCGGAGAUGGAUUCUGAGACACGAAUCCAGGCCCUACGGGGCGCAGCAGGCGCGAAAACUUUACAAUGCGGGCAACCGUGAUAAGGAAACCCCGAGUGCCAGCACAGGCUGGCUGUCCACCAGUGUAAAUAACUGGUGAAGAAAGGGCCGGGCAAGACCGGUGCCAGCCGCCGCGGUAAUACCGGCGGCUCGAGUGGUGGCCGCUUUUACUGGGCUUAAAGGGUCCGUAGCUGGAUUCACAAGUCCCUUGAGAAAUCCAUCGGCUUAACUGAUGGGCGUUCAGGGGAUACUGUGGUUCUAGGGACCGGGAGAGGUGAGAGGUACUGCCGGGGU